rnacentral:misc_RNA from 1 species
UAAUGUCUGAAUAAUUGAGAAAUUUUUUUACAGAAACUGGGGGCGUAUGCCUUCGCUGCUUCAAAUCUUGUUUGGUUUAUGAAUGGAUAGAACUGAGUUAUAUAUUUGCAAAACGGAGGUAGAUGAUUGGGAUUUGGUUAGACUGAGAAAAUAGGUCCACAAGGUGUACACCUUAAAAGAAAAGUCUGUGAUAACAAAUUGAAUUUGCUUCCACUUGUUAAAUGUUGAUCUAGUUUGAUGCUAUUUCAAAUUGGUAGGGAUUCUUGUAUUUCCAAUCGAUCUGGCUUGCAUAUUAUCAGGUUUUUGCAUGACCAUGAAGCAGUGUCAUUUUUCAUCCUUCUUUCCUCUCUCUUCCUUGCUGUUGCUGCUAACACUUCUUUUCUUUGUGUGUCAUUCUCAACAUAAUGUUUAUGAAAACAAUGUAUAUUUGGUCUCAGUAUCAAUGUCAUGCUCAUUGUUCUUGUGCUGCCUACUGAUGAUUCAGAUUGGACAAGAG